GAUGAACGCUGGCGGCGUGCCUAAUACAUGCAAGUCGAGCGAACGGACGAGAAGCUUGCUUCUCUGAUGUUAGCGGCGGACGGGUGAGUAACACGUGGAUAACCUACCUAUAAGACUGGGAUAACUUCGGGAAACCGGAGCUAAUACCGGAUAAUAUUUUGAACCGCAUGGUUCAAAAGUGAAAGACGGUCUUGCUGUCACUUAUAGAUGGAUCCGCGCUGCAUUAGCUAGUUGGUAAGGUAACGGCUUACCAAGGCAACGAUGCAUAGCCGACCUGAGAGGGUGAUCGGCCACACUGGAACUGAGACACGGUCCAGACUCCUACGGGAGGCAGCAGUAGGGAAUCGUCCGCAAUGGGCGAAAGCCUGACGGAGCAACGCCGCGUGAGUGAUGAAGGUCUUCGGAUCGUAAAACUCUGUUAUUAGGGAAGAACAUAUGUGUAAGUAACUGUGCACAUCUUGACGGUAACUAAUCAGAAAGCCACGGCUAACUACGUG
rnacentral:rRNA from 1 species